rnacentral:rRNA from 1 species
UACGUAGGGUGCAAGCGUUGUCCGGAAUUAUUGGGCGUAAAGAGCUCGUAGGCGGUCUGUCGCGUCUGCUGUGAAAACCUAGGGCUUAACUCUGGGCGUGCAGUGGGUACGGGCAGGCUAGAGUGCGGUAGGGGGAGACUGGAAUUCCUGGUGUAGCGGUGAAAUGCGCAGAUAUCAGGAGGAACACCGGUGGCGAAGGCGGGUCUCUGGGCCGAUACUGACGCUGGAGGUGCGAAAGCGUGGGGGAGCAAAC